GACGAACGCUGGCGGCGUGCCUAAUACAUGCAAGUAGAACGCACAGUUUAUACCGUAGCUUGCUACACCAUAGACUGUGAGUUGCGAACGGGUGAGUAACGCGUAGGUAACCUGCCUGGUAGCGGGGGAUAACUAUUGGAAACGAUAGCUAAUACCGCAUAAUAUUGAUUAUUGCAUGAUAAUUGAUUGAAAGAUGCUAUUGCAUCACUACCAGAUGGACCUGCGUUGUAUUAGCUAGUAGGUGAGGUAACGGCUCACCUAGGCGACGAUACAUAGCCGACCUGGGAGGGUGAUCGGCCACACUGGGACUGGGACACGGCCCAGACUCCUACGGGAGGCAGCAGUAGGGAAUCUUCGGCAAUGGACGAAAGUCUGACCGAGCAACGCCGCGUGAGUGAAGAAGGUUUUCGGAUCGUAAAGCUCUGUUGUAAGGGAGGAACGGGUGUGAGAGUGGAAAGUUCACACUGUGACGGUAUCUUACCAGAAAGGGACGGCUAACUACGUG
rnacentral:rRNA from 1 species